ACAGUGAGUAGCUUGCUAUGAGCUGUUUUAGCGGCGGACGGGUGAGUAACGCGUGAGCAACCUUUCCCAGACAGGGGAAUAACACACCGAAAGGUGUACUAAUACCGCAUAAGACCACGGGAUCACAUGGUUCUGGGGUAAAAGAUUUAUCGGUUUGGGGUGGGCUCGCGUCCGAUUAGGUAGUUGGUGAGGUAACGGCCCACCAAGCCGACGAUCGGUAGCCGACCUGAGAGGGUGAUCGGCCACAUUGGGACUGAGACACGGACCAAACUCCUACGGGAGGCAGCAGUGAGGAAUAUUGGUCAAUGGACGGAAGUCUGAACCAGCCAUGCCGCGUGCAGGAUGACGGCUCUAUGAGUUGUAAACUGCUUUUGUACGAGGGUAAACCCGAAUACGUGUAUUCGGCUGAAAGUAUCGUACGAAUAAGGAUCGGCUAACUCCGUGCCAGCAGCCGCGGUAAUACGGAGGAUCCAAGCGUUAUCCGGAUUUAUUGGGUUUAAAGGGUGCGUAGGCGGUCAGAUAAGUUAGAGGUGAAAUUCCGGUGCUUAACACCGGCGCUGCCUCUAAUACUGUUUGACUAGAGAGUA
rnacentral:rRNA from 1 species